ensembl:rRNA 5S_rRNA 5S ribosomal RNA
GUCUAUGACCAUACCAUCCAGAACAUACCCAAUCUCAUCUGAUCUCAAAAGCUAAGCAGGAUUGGACCUAGUUAGUAUUUAGAUGGGAGAUUGCCUUGGGAAUACCCUGUGCUAUAUGCU